ACCUUGGCCCUCACUUUCUAAUUUUUCUCACUCACGGUGUCUGUCUCUCUAAACCCUUUCUCUCACUCUCACUGUAGUCUCUCUCUGUAAACCCUAGAAAUUGGCGGUGUCUCUCUCAAAAAUUGGCGGUGUCUCUCUUUAAAAUUGGCGGUGACAGUCACGGUGAUGGUAACGACGACGUCGCUUGCUUUAAGUGCCUACACUACUCUGGUUUUCGUAGAGCCAAAAUUGACUGCUGAAAUAAGAAACCUUGUUAUGAAGGUGAUAAUGUUGAUCUUCUUCAUCAGUGAGGGUUCAAUUCUAGGUGUCGAGGUUGAGUUACCGAGCAAAUCAUACAGCACUAAGGAAAAUAAGAAGGAACCUAAAACGAUAGCCAAAAUUGAAGAUAGACGCUUUCUGAAGCCCCAUAUAUUUACCCUUACAAUCCAGAGGUAACUUGUCUUCUAUAUAAUUUGCUUUCUUAUUUCGUCUGUGAUUGUUCAUUUUGGAUUUAUGCGUAAAAAAUACACCUAUGGCAUCCCAGUUUUUGAUGUGAGGUUCCUACCUGAACUAUCACCAAAUAGUUGUUUAGGUAGGAAAAGUGACCAAUUGAUAGUUGAGGUGUGUUUCAACAAAACUUUUGGUGAUAGUUCAAGUAGGAAACUUGAAAAACCGGGAUACUUUGGGUGUGUUUUUGACCCUUCACUCUUUAUUUUACUAAUGGAAUUACCUUUUCAGAUUGAUGGGGGAACCUAUAUCUCAGUUACUUUGAGAUGGUCUCAGAAGUUAUUGUAUUGCAUUGGCCAAUUUACCUUGAGCAUACUGUAUAGUUUCCCGGAGUAUGUAACUCCAGUUGGAAAGAAGAUAACUAAGAAAGAAAAUAUAAAGUUUAAUUUUAAUUGUGGUUCAGGAUUUGAGGUUUCGUCUAAGGCUAUCAAUCACCCUCUUAAGGUGAAACUUGUCGAGUACUGGACUGAUUUGUAGUUUUGUUAGUUGAUGAAGUAACUCUUAACAGUGGUUUCGAUACUGGUAUUUUAGGAGCUAGACAAUGAAGAUGAAGAUGGAAAGUCGGGGUUGUUCUAUGACGCUAAUGUCUUUAACUGGUCGAGCAGUGAUAUUGUGAUUACUUACAAGGUAUGCCCUCCGUUAAUCAUGGUUGUUUUAACUUCCUUAAAUAGAAAAUAUAAAUUAUAAGUCGACUAGAAGUAUUUAAAGCCUAGAAGUAUUUAAAAGCCUAGUAGUAUUUAAAGCCUACGAGGUACGCCCUCCGUUUAUGUUGUGGGAGUGGGAUUAUAAGUAUUUAAAAGCCUAGAAGCAGAAGUAGUACUGUGUUGAUUUUGUUGUUUUUGAAGAUUUUGACUUUUUGUUGUUUCAUAUAAUUCACUGGUAUGCAACUCUGUUAGUAAAGAAAUGACAUAGUAACUUGAUGCUAUUUUUGUUCACAAUUACUUUGAGAUUUUUGGUGUAUGAGUACAUGCCACAAGUAGCUUUAAGUCAGCAUUUGUUUGAAUGGCAAGAACACGGCUACCCAAUUUUGACCUGGAAGCAAAGGGUAACAAUAGCGUUAGAUGUUGCAAGAGGAGUCGAGUAUCUUCACAGCUUGGCUUAGACAAGUUUUAUCCAUAGGGAUUUAAAGCCCUCUAACAUACUUCUUAGUGAUGACAUGAGGGCCAAGGUUGCUGAUUUUGGAUUGGUCAAGAAUGCUCCCGAUGGGAAAUAUUCUGUUGAGACAUGGCUGGCUGGAACAUUUGACUAUCUGGUGCCUGAAUAUGCUGCUACUGGACGAGUCACGACUAAGGUAGAUGUGUAUGCAUUCAGAGUUGUUCUAAUGGAGAUCCUAACUGGUAGAAAAGCAUUAGACGAGACCUUGCCAGAUGAGAGGUCCCAUUUGAUCUCUCGGCUUCGCAGGGUCCUAGUCAACAAAGACAACCUCCGAAAGGCUAUUGACCCAACACUCAAUCCCGACUAGGAAACAUACGAGGGAAUUUGUAAGGUCGCCGAGUUAACAGGCCAUUGCACUGCACAAGAACCAUUCCAGCACCCCCGAUAUGGGACAUGUCGUCAUUGUACUUGUCCCCUCAUAGACCUAUGGGAGCCUACGAGAAAUAAAAACGAAGACAGUGGAAUCGACCUCCAUAUAAGCCUUCCUCAAAUCCUUCAAAGAUGGCAAGCUGAUGAAGGCACUUCAAGAAUGUUCGACGACUUCUCCUACACUCAAACACAGUCAAGCAUACACGACUUCUCCUACACUCAAACACAGUCAAGCAUAACCUCAUAACCUUCCGAAUUUGCAGAUAGCUUUAACUCAACAGAUUGCAGAUGACAGAAAGAUGAUAGAAAGGCAAUGCAUAUAUGGGGGUAAUAGAUCAAGAAAGGCCCACAAAUUCAUUUGAUUUCUUCUUAACAAUGCUUUUUACUUUGUCUUCAUAUAAUUUUAUUUGGCUAGACAACAGAGUGUUUUCUAUAUGAUUUUGUUAGUAGAGAAAUUGUGUUAAAUUCUUUAUCUUACAAAGUUAAUGUAAAUAGAGAUUUGAGUUCUUAUAUGAACAUGCAAAAAAAAAGUUCAAAAUUA